AGGUGCUUCAGGCCGUGGCCAAACAUGGAGCCCUCUGAGAGCUGCUGGAUUUUCUUAAGGGGGAGAGAUGAAAAGCCCUGGUUAAUGGAAAGCUCCUGGAUGUCUUGUCAGUCGGGGUUGAAGACUAGAGCCAAGCUGAAUCCCUGGAGCCCUGCUGCAGCUCUGCCCCAAGAGAUGCCACCUGCUUGCCCCAAGCCCCAGUACUGCCAGGAUAAAUGGCUGGUGGCAACUGCCAUGUAACGAAACAAACAGAGCAAAAGUUUGAGCAUGAAGAAAGCAAAAAAGAGUAAGUCUGAGUGGCUGUCCACUCAGUGCUGU
rnacentral:lncRNA from 1 species